GCUCAGAACGAACGCUGGCGGCGUGCCUAACACAUGCAAGUCGAACGCGAAAAGCAGUAAUGCUGAGUAGAGUGGCGCACGGGUGAGUAACACGUAACUGACAUGUCCUAGAGACAAGGAUAACCAUUCGAAAGGAUGGCUAAUACUUGGUAAGCCCACGGUUUUGGAGCUGAGGGAAAAGGGUCGGGACCUUUCGAGGCCGAUCGCUUUGGGAGUGGGUUGCGGCCCAUCAGGUAGUUGGCGGGGUAACGGCCCACCAAGCCUAAGACGGGUAGCUGGUCUGAGAGGAUGAUCAGCCACACUGGAACUGAGACACGGUCCAGACUCCUACGGGAGGCAGCAGUGGGGAAUCUUGCGCAAUGGGAGAAAUCCUGACGCAGCAACGCCGCGUGGGUGAUGAAGGUCUUCGGAUCGUAAAGCCCUGUCGGAGGGGAAGAUGCUUUCUGUCGCUAAUAUCGGCAGGAGGUGACGGUACCCUCAAAGGAAGCACCGGCUAACUCUGUGCCAGCAGCCGCGGUAAUACAGAGGGUGCAAGCGUUGUUCGGAAUUAUUGGGCGUAAAGGGAGUGUAGGCGGUUGUCUAAGUCUUCUGUGAAAUCUACGGGCUUAGCCUGUAACGUGCAGAGGAAACUGGGCGACUUGAGUGUCGGAGAGGAUAGGGGAAUACCCGGUGUAGAGGUGAAAUUCGUAGAGAUCGGGUGGAACACCAGUGGCGAAGGCGCCUAUCUGGCUGACAACUGACGCUGAGACUCGAAAGCAUGGGGAGCAAACAGGAUUAGAUACCCUGGUAGUCCAUGCCGUAAACGAUGAUAGCUAGAUGUGUGCGGUAUUGACCCCGUACGUGUCGAAGCCAACGCGAUAAGCUAUCCGCCUGGGGAGUACGGUCGCAAGAUUAAACUUAAAU
rnacentral:rRNA from 1 species